UACGGAGGGGGCUAGCGUUGUUCGGAAUUACUGGGCGUAAAGCGCACGUAGGCGGCGCGACAAGUCAGAGGUGAAAGGCCUGGGCUCAACCUGGGAACUGCCUUUGAUACUGGCGUGCUGGAGUACGGGAGAGGGUGACGGAAUUCCCAGUGUAGAGGUGAAAUUCGUAGAUAUUGGGAAGAACACCGGUGGCGAAGGCGGUCACCUGGCCCGGAACUGACGCUGAGGUGCGAAAGCGUGGGGAGCAAAC
rnacentral:rRNA from 1 species